CUCUGAGGCAGUGUGACACAGGCAGAGAGAAGGAAAAGAAAGGGGAGGUAGUCAGUGCAGACAAAAGCUCUCCCUCUGUGGCUAUUACUGCAGGAUUCAGGAACAGGCAGGCGGAAGAGAAGGAGGAAGGACAGGAACAGCUGUAGACGAAGGGACAGACAGAACCAGCACACUGGCCACUGGGUGACAUGAGGGAGUGGGAGGAGAACCCAGCACAUGGCUCAAGGAAAAAAACAAAUAAAUAAAUAAAUGAACUAAAAAAAAUAAAUGUGCCCUGUUAACACUGAACAAGACACAGAGAGCCAUCUUGUUAGCAGUAGCAGGCCUCUAAAUCUCCCUAAUGGUCCUCUGUCUGAUCUUGUUCUCCUCAGAAUGUCAAGUGUGAACAACGGGCGACCCCAACAACAAAUAUUGUUGAUUCCUCUACCUGCAUGAAUGCAGAUGUUUAUU